CUACCAAUUAAGUCUAAUUUUAAUGAAAAAAAAAUUAGAUUAAAAAAGUAGAGAUCUUUAUGAAAUAAGAAUGUACCUUUUUAAGUUAAUUGUUUCUUCAUUUGGAUUAAGGUAGAAUCUAUUUAAAGAGACAGUCUCUUAGGGUUUAGAAAAUAAAAUUUUGUAAAACAAAAAUUUCUCUCCCUUCUCCAUGCCACACCUUCUCUCCUUCUUCUCUUUCUAAUGCUUAAAGAUUGGGCAUCCCACCUUUCCUCAUGCCAAGGUUGAGAAGGUAUUCUUCUAUAGUGAAGAAUGAAAAGAAAAAGGGCUGCAGUUCAAGAGUUGAUUCUGUAGUCAAGAUCAAAGAGUUGAUCAAGGUUCUAAAGGGCUGAGAUCCUUCUUGGAGAAGAAGAAUCUAUCAUGAGAAAAAAGAUUCAAGGUUGAUUCUUAUGGAUACUUGUAGAGAUCGAACACAUGUGCGGCUCGAGGAUCUUCGAACCUGAGAUCAUCGAUAGUAGUGAAUUUCUAUCCACACUAAGGUACUGAGAUUUGAUCUCAUACUUAUUUUAUUUUUAGAUUAUAUGAUGUCUUUACUUUUGGACUUUGGUAGGAUUAGAUAAGAUCUGAUGUAUAUGGAGUUAAAGGGUUUAACCCAAUUAUUUUUUCGCUGCUCUUGUAAAGAUUUUUAAAAUCUACACAUGCACCCUAUCCAAUUUUUUAAUAGUGGUAUCAGAGCCACUGAUAUUUAAAGACACAUAUGAUCUGGUUUUCAUCUUAGAUCUAAAAAUUUUAAUGAUUUAAUAUUGAUCUUGUGCUGGUAUAAGGUGGUCCUAGUAUAGGGUUUAUCUCUUAUAUUGAAAAGAUUGUCCUAGUACAAGAAUGAUCGAUUUUAAAAAUUAUUUUUAAAGUAAUUAAAUCAAUCUUUUAAAUCUAAAAAUUAGCAUAUGUAAUAUAUCUUAUUUUUUAUUUAGAUAAAAAAUUAGAAUGAUUAAAUAUUCAUAUCAAACUGGUAUAAGAUUGUCCUAGUAUAGGAUUUACCCCCUAUAUUGAAAAGGUUGUCUUAGUUUGAUGC
rnacentral:lncRNA from 1 species